rnacentral:rRNA from 1 species
CCUACGGGAGGCAGCAGUGAGGAAUAUUGGUCAAUGGACGAGAGUCUGAACCAGCCAAGUAGCGUGAAGGAUGACUGCCCUAUGGGUUGUAAACUUCUUUUAUAUGGGAAUAAAAUGUGCCACGUGUGGGAUUUUGUAUGUACCAUAUGAAUAAGGAUCGGCUAACUCCGUGCCAGCAGCCGCGGUAAUACGGAGGAUCCGAGCGUUAUCCGGAUUUAUUGGGUUUAAAGGGAGCGUAGGUGGAUUGUUAAGUCAGUUGUGAAAGUUUGCGGCUCAACCGUAAAAUUGCAGUUGAUACUGGCAGUCUUGAGUACAGUAGAGGUGGGCGGAAUUCGUGGUGUAGCGGUGAAAUGCUUAGAUAUCACGAAGAACUCCGAUUGCGAAGGCAGUUCACUGGACUGCAACUGACACUGAGGCUCGAAAGUGUGGGUAUCAAACAGGAUUAGAUACCCCAGUAGUC